AUGCAGGAGACACUGGUUCGAUCCCUGGAACAGGAAGAUCCCCUGGAGGAGAAAAUGGCAACCCACUCCCGUAUUCUUGCCUGGAGAAUCCCAUGGAUAGAGGAGCCUGUCCGUGGGGUUGCAAAAGAGUUGGACACACCUGAGGGACUACGCAACAAGAGCAACCAGGGUCUGGGAGACAGUGUCUGCCCCUCUUCACCUAGACCUGCGGGGCACGGAACUCAGCGGUACUUCUCCGUCAGCACCACGGCCACGCCCGUCAGGAACUUAUCCCACGCCGCCUGCAUCUCCACCGUGAACUCGCCCUGCAGGUGGGAGGCCAGCACCACCUGGAAACACUGGAUCACCAGUGGGAAGUUGGUAGGGUCCACGUGCAGCACUUGUGCGUGCAGGUCGGCAAGCGGGCUCAGGACUGCGCACAGGUUGUCCAUGUACUGCACGGCCCUGUAUAAAAGAUUCUGUGCGGACGUAAGUUUUUACUUAUCUGAGAUAAAUACUCAGGACUGCAGUGGCUGUACUAUUUUACAUUCCCACCAACAGUGGACGAGAGAUCCAGUUCCCCAGAAUCGUCACCAGCAUUUGGUAUGGUCAUUAUUUUCAUUUUAGCUGUUCCGAUAGGUGUGUAGUGAUAUCUCAUUGUGGUCUUUAACUUGCUCUUUCCUAAUGGCUAGUGUUAUUGAUCAUCUUUUUAUGUGUUUACUUGCCAUUUGUGUAUCCUCUUUAGUGACUUUGCCUGUUUUCUAGGCAUGAGUCCUUGGUCAGAUAUAGGAUUUUUCAAGUAAGUUCUCCAAGUCUCUGGUAGGCAUAAUCUCAAAGAUUUCCCCACCAAGAUUCCUGUUCCCUGACUAUUCAAUCAAACAUUAGAUACUGCUGUGAAGGGGGUUUUCAGAUGCAAUUAAGAUUACUAAGUGAGUGAUUUUCAAACAGGGAAAUUAUCAUUAGUUAUCUGGCUCAAUGUAAGUAUGUGCUUGCAUGGAUGCUAAGUUGCCUUAGUUGUGAUGGGCUCAAUAAAGGACAGAAACGGUAUGGACCUAAGAGAAGC
rnacentral:lncRNA from 1 species